GGCGGUUCUUGGGUGAUGCACCCUGGAAUCAGGCUCCCUCCUCUCUGGUUUUGGGUGCAUCACCUGAGAACCACA
rfam:Myotis davidii contig156958, whole genome shotgun sequence.